AUGAACGCUAGCUACAGGCUUAACACAUGCAAGUCGAGGGGCAGCAUGGUCUUAGCUUGCUAAGGCCGAUGGCGACCGGCGCACGGGUGAGUAACGCGUAUCCAACCUGCCUUACACUCUUGGACAGCCUUCUGAAAGGGAGAUUAAUACAAGAUGUUAUCAUGAGUAAGCAUUUUCGCAUGAUUAAAGGUUUACCGGUGUAAGAUGGGGAUGCGUUCCAUUAGAUAGUAGGCGGGGUAACGGCCCACCUAGUCUUCGAUGGAUAGGGGUUCUGAGAGGAAGGUCCCCCACAUUGGAACUGAGACACGGUCCAAACUCCUACGGGAGGCAGCAGUGAGGAAUAUUGGUCAAUGGACGAGAGUCUGAACCAGCCAAGUAGCGUGAAGGAUGAAGGUUCUAUGGAUUGUAAACUUCUUUUAUACGGGAAUAAACGAAUCCACGUGUGGAUUUUUGCAUGUACCGUAUGAAUAAGGAUCGGCUAACUCCGUGCCAGCAGCCGCGGUAAUACGGAGGAUCCGAGCGUUAUCCGGAUUUAUUGGGUUUAAAGGGAGCGUAGAUGGGUUGUUAAGUCAGUUGUGAAAGUUUGCGGCUCAACCGUAAAAUUGCAAUUGAUACUGGCAGUCUUGAGUACAGUUGAGGUAGGCGGAAUUCGUGGUGUAGCGGUGAAAUGCUUAGAUAUCACGAAGAACUCCGAUUGCGAAGGCAGCUUACUAACCUGUAACUGACAUUGAUGCUCGAAAGUGUGGGUAUCAAACAGGAUUAGAUACCCUGGUAGUCCACACGGUAAACGAUGAAUACUCGCUGUAGGCGAUAUACAGUCUGCGGCCAAGCGAAAGCAUUAAGUAUUCCACCUGGGGAGUACGCCGGCAACGGUGAAACUCAAAGGAAUUGACGGGGGCCCGCACAAGCGGAGGAACAUGUGGUUUAAUUCGAUGAUACGCGAGGAACCUUACCCGGGCUUAAAUUGCAACCGAAUAUGGCGGAAACGCUAUAGCUAGCAAUAGCGGUUGUGAAGGUGCUGCAUGGUUGUCGUCAGCUCGUGCCGUGAGGUGUCGGCUUAAGUGCCAUAACGAGCGCAACCCUUGCCGAUAGUUACUAACAGGUUAUGCUGAGGACUCUGUCGGGACUGCCAUCGUAAGAUGUGAGGAAGGUGGGGAUGACGUCAAAUCAGCACGGCCCUUACGUCCGGGGCUACACACGUGUUACGAUGGGGGGUACAGAGGGCUGCUACCACGCAAGUGGAUGCCAAUCCCAAAAACCUCUCUCAGUUCGGAUUGAAGUCUGCAACCCGACUUCAUGAAGCUGGAUUCGCUAGCAAUCGCGCAUCAGCCACGGCGCGGUGAAUACGUUCCCGGGCCUUGUACACACCGCCCGUCAAGCCAUGGGAGCCGGGGGUACCUGAAGUGCGUAACCGCAAGGAGCGCCCUAGGGUAAAACUGGUGACUGGGGCU
rnacentral:rRNA from 1 species